rnacentral:rRNA from 1 species
GACGAACGCUGGCGGCGUGCUUAACACAUGCAAGUCGAACGGAAAGGCCCUGCUUUUGUGGGGUGCUCGAUUGGCGAACGGGUGAGUAACACGUGAGUAACCUGCCCUUGACUUUGGGAUAACUUCAGGAAACUGGGGCUAAUACCGGAUAGGAGCUCCUGCUGCAUGGUGGGCGUUGGAAAGUUUCGGCGGUUGGGGAUGGACUCGCGGCUUAUCAGCUUGUUGGUGGGGUAGUGGCUGACCAAGGCUUUGACGGGUAGCCGGCCUGAGAGGGUGACCGGCGACAUUGGGACUGAGAUACGGCCCAGACUCCUACGGGAGGCAGCAGUGGGGAAUAUUGCACAAUGGGCGGAAGCCUGAUGCAGCAACGCCGCGUGCGGGAUGACGGCCUUCGGGUUGUAAACCGCUUUCGACUGUGACGAAGCGUGAGUGACGGUAAUGGGUAAAGAAGCACCGGCUAACUACGUG